GGCCCCGCACAAGCAGUGGAGCAUGUGGUUUAAUUCGAUGCAACGCGAAGAACCUUACCAGGCCUUGACAUCCUGCGAACUUUUUAGAGAUAGAAAGGUGCCUUCGGGAACGCAGUGACAGGUGCUGCAUGGCUGUCGUCAGCUCGUGUUGUGAAAUGUUGGGUUAAGUCCCGUAACGAGCGCAACCCUUGUCCUUAUUUGCCAGCACGUAAUGGUGGGAACUCUAAGGAGACUGCCGGUGACAAACCGGAGGAAGGUGGGGACGACGUCAAGUCAUCAUGGCCCUUACGACCAGGGCUACACACGGUGCUACAAUGGGGCGUACAGAGGGUUGCGAAGCCGCGAGGUGGAGCC
rnacentral:rRNA from 1 species